CUACGGGAGGCUGCAGUCGAGGAUCUUUCGCAAUGGGCGCAAGCCUGACGAAGCGACGCUGUGUGGACGAUGAAGGCUUUCGGGUUGUAAAGUCCUUUCGCGCAAGAACAAGAGAAGUAGGUGAAUAUCCUGCUGAUUUGAGGGUACUGCGUAAAGAAGCACCGGCUAACUCCGUGCCAGCAGCUGCGGUAAUACGGAGGGUGCAAGCAUUAAUCGGAUUUACUGGGCGUAAAGGGCGCGUAGGCGGGUGAGCAAGUCAAAUGUGAAAUUCCGGAGCUCAACUUCGGAGCUGCAUUUGAAACUGCUUGUAUAUUGAGGGAUGGCGAAGAAAACGGAAUUCCACGUGUAGCGGUGAAAUGCGUAGAUAUGUGGAAGAACACCUGUGGCGAAAGCGGUUUUCUAGCUAUUACCUGACGCUGAGGCGCGAGAGCAUGGGGAGCAAACAGGAUUAGAUACCCGUGUAGUC
rnacentral:rRNA from 1 species